GGGACUGUAGCUCAGUGGAAGAGUGCUUGCCUGACAUGUUUGAGACACUGGGUUUGAUCCUCGGCAGCACCA
rnacentral:tRNA from 1 species